AUCCAACUGACGAGUUCGAAAUUGGACGAAACGCACGUCUUGGAU
rfam:Schistosoma rodhaini strain Burundi genome assembly, scaffold: SROB_scaffold0000086